rnacentral:rRNA from 1 species
UUAAACUAAAGAGUUUGAUCCUGGCUCAGAUUGAACGCUGGCGGCAUGCCUUACACAUGC